UUAUCGGUGGCUCAGUCCCUAUAGAUUUUCUUGACAGGUUAGCUUACCUGCAGGAGUAUUGUAAAAAUUGCUGAUUGACAAAAAGGAAAAAAAGAAACAUAAAAUAUUGGAGUAACCGUUAGAGAGAUUUCUUCCGGCUAUCCUGUUUCUAAAACCUUUAGCCUUUGCGAAACUCCAAUCCAAACUCAAGCAACAAUGGCUUCAAGCCCAGCCAAACUAGUUCGCAAAUCUCCCUUGCUGUAUCGUUACGUACAAUUUUCUCGCAAACCCACUUCACAUUUCAGUAGUGCCCCCAAAAUUCCACCUUGCUCCACUUCUAUAAGCAGUAGGGGCUUCAGCUUCAGAUGCUGCUAUCACUCAAUUUCUUUAACGUCGACUACUGUGUAUAAAGAAUUGGGCCACUCUAAAAUUGGUUUUAGACAACUGGGUUCUGAUCAUUUUCGCCUCUUUGCUGUAUCUGAUGGUGGCUCCGGCGGGGGAGGUAGUGGGAAUAGUGGUUCAGGUGGCGGAAAUUUUGGUGACGGUGGUAGUGGUGCUGCCGGAGGUAGUGGUAGUGGCAAAAACUGGUCGUUUCUGUUAUGGUACUUGUCACUUCUUGAAAAAUAUCCUGUGUGGACAAAAGCUGUGACAUCUGCAUUUUUGACUUUCAUUGGAGAUUUAACCUGCCAGCUUGCAAUUGAACAAGUACCUUCACUAGACUGGAAGAGGACAUUUCUGUUCACAUUGUUGGGGCUGGUUUUGGUGGGUCCAACCUUGCACUUCUGGUACCUGUACUUGAGCAAAUUGGUCACAAUUCCUGGAUCAUCUGGCGCUUUCUUGCGCCUUUUUCUUGAUCAGUUUCUUUUCUCUCCCAUUUUCAUUGGAUUUUUCUUAUCGACAUUGGUAACACUGGAGGGAAGGCCAUCACAAGUAAUUCCUAAGCUUGAGCAGGAAUGGUUCUCUGCGGUUGUGGCCAAUUGGCAAUUAUGGAUUCCUUUUCAGUUCCUUAACUUCCGAUUUGUACCACAGCAAUUUCAGGUCCUUGCUGCUAACUUUAUUGCGCUAAUAUGGAAUGUGAUUCUUUCAUACAAAGCUCAUAAAGCAAUUCUUACGAAAUAGGUAUAAGUUAGCAGGAAAUGACAGGAUAUCCUUUAUUGCGAACUUGAAGCUCUGAGGUUUUUGGUGACACUACCGGUGUAACCAAUAGCUGAGGCUUGAGUCACCAGGAGGAGUACAAAAACUGUUGACGCCACUUACUGCUCUGACACUGUCAUUUCUUUACAUGUUUGUGUUUUGCAGCAUCCAAGUUAUGUGACUCUCUAGAUUCCCUUCAACUCACUGCACCGAAGAUUGCUUGAACUUCUUAAUGUUGCUGAGGAAAAAUGGGUAGUGUAAUGACAUUAGCAGAAUGUACUGCUUUCUUUGUUGAUUGUUCUGGUAUAUUUUUGUGUUUAGAAACAGCUGCACUAUUGGUAUGGUGAAGUUGAUUUAUGUGGAGGCGUGAGAUGGGUAGCGCAAUGACUAUUUAGUUGAUUUAUGUAUUGCUUUCUUUGUUGCUUGUUCUGGUACAUUUGUAUUCAGAAAAAAGUUGCAUUAUAGGUAUGAUGAAGUUGAUUUAUGUGGAGGCAUAAGAUGUAUUCUGUUGUAAGUGAAUUUCUAACAUCUCAUUCUUGUAAA